rfam:Dictyocaulus viviparus strain HannoverDv2000 D_viviparus-1.0_Cont2138.2, whole genome shotgun sequence.
GCCUCGGUGGUGUAAUGGUAAGCACAGCAGACCGGAUAUCUGUAAGUGCGGGUACGAGUCCCGCCUGAGGUU